AGGAAUAUUGGUCAAUGGACGAGAGUCUGAACCAGCCAAGUAGCGUGAAGGAUGAAGGUCCUACGGAUUGUAAACUUCUUUUAUAAGGGAAUAAAACCUCCCACGUGUGGGAGCUUGUAUGUACCUUAUGAAUAAGCAUCGGCUAACUCCGUGCCAGCAGCCGCGGUAAUACGGAGGAUGCGAGCGUUAUCCGGAUUUAUUGGGUUUAAAGGGAGCGCAGACGGGUCGUUAAGUCAGCUGUGAAAGUUUGGGGCUCAACCUUAAAAUUGCAGUUGAUACUGGCGUCCUUGAGUGCGGUUGAGGUGUGCGGAAUUCGUGGUGUAGCGGUGAAAUGCUUAGAUAUCACGAAGAACUCCGAUUGCGAAGGCAGCACACUAAGCCGUAACUGACGUUCAUGCUCGAAAGUGUGGGUAUCAAACAGGAUUAGAUACCCUGGUAGUCCACACGGUAAACGAUGGAUACUCGCUGUUGGCGAUAUACAGUCAGCGGCUUAGCGAAAGCGUUAAGUAUCCCACCUGGGGAGUACGCCGGCAACGGUGAAACUCAAAGGAAUUGACGGGGGCCCGCACAAGCGGAGGAACAUGUGGUUUAAUUCGAUGAUACGCGAGGAACCUUACCCGGGCUUAAAUUGCAAAGGAAUGAUCUGGAAACAGGUCAGUCUUCGGACCUUUGUGAAGGUGCUGCAUGGUUGUCGUCAGCUCGUGCCGUGAGGUGUCGGCUUAAGUGCCAUAACGAGCGCAACCCUCGCCGCCAGUUACUAACAGGUAAUGCUGAGGACUCUGGCGGGACUGCCAUCGUAAGAUGUGAGGAAGGUGGGGAUGACGUCAAAUCAGCACGGCCCUUACGUCCGGGGCUACACACGUGUUACAAUGGGCGGUACAGAAGGCAGCUACCUGGCGACAGGAUGCCAAUCCCUAAAGCCGCUCUCAGUUCGGACUGGAGUCUGCAACCCGACUCCACGAAGCUGGAUUCGCUAGUAAUCGCGCAUCAGCCACGGCGCGGUGAAUACGUUCCCG
rnacentral:rRNA from 1 species